UCUGGGUUGGCGCCCCCCCCCCUUGGGUUGUGCCGUGGCGGAGAUCUUUGUGGGCUAUACUCGGCCUUGUCUCAGGAUGAGGACCUGAGCCCUAGGACCAUGCCUCAGGACUACCUGGCAUGAUGACUCCUUGCUGUCCCCAGUCCACCUGGCCGUGCUGCUGCUCCAGUUUCAACUGUUCUGCCUGCGGCUAUGGAACCCUGACCUGUUCACCGGACGUGCUACCUGUCCCAGACCUGCUGUCCCAGACCUGCUGGAACCCUGACCUGUUCACCAGAUGUGUUACCUGUCCCAGACCUGCUGUUUUCAACUCUCUGGAGACAGCAGGAGCGGUAGAGAUACUCUCAAAGAUCGGCUAUUAAAAAGCCAACUGACACUUACUCUUGAGUUGCUGACUUGUUGCACCCUCAACAACUACUAUGAUUAUUAUUAUUAUUUGACCAUGCUGGUCAUUUAUGAACAUUUGAACAUCUUGGCCAUGUGCUGUUAUAAUCUCCACCCGGCACAGCCAGAAGAGGACUGGCCACCCCUCAUAGCCUGGUUCCUCUCUAGGUUUUGGCCUUUCCUAGCCACCAUGCUUCUACACCUGCAUUGCUUGCUGUUUGGGGUUUUAGGCUGGGUUUCUGUACAGCACUUUGAGAUAUCAGCUGAAGUAAGAAGGGCUAUAUAAAUACAUUUGAUUUGAUUUAGGUGGGACGUUAGCGUCCCACUCUAUUCAACAGCCAGUGGAAUCGCGAGGCGCGAAAUACAAAUACCUCAAAAAUUCAAUAAUUUCAAUAUUUCAAACAUACGACUAUUUUACACCAUUUGAAAGAUAAGACUCUCGUUAAUCUAACCACAUUUUACAAUUUCAAAAAGGCUUUACAGCGAAAGCAAAACAUUAGAUUAUGUUAGGAGAGUACAUAGACACAAAUAACCACACAGCCAUUUUUGAAGCAAGCAAAUAUGUCACAAAAACCCAAACCACAGCUAAAUGCAGCACUAACCUUUGAUGAUCUUCAUCAGAUGACACUCCUAGGACAUUAUGUUAUACAAUACAUGCAUGUUUUGUUCAAUCAAGUUCAUAUUUAUAUCCAAAAAAAUAUUUUUACAUUAGCAUGUGAUGUUCAGAACUAGCAUUCCCACCCAAAACUUCCGUUGAAUUUACUAAAUUACUCAUGAUAAACGUUGACAAAAUACAUAACAAUUAUUUUAAGAAUUAUAGAUACAGAACUCCUUUAUGCAAUCGCUAUGUCAGAUUUUAAAAUAGCUUUUCGGCAAAAGCACAUUUUGCAAUAUUCUGAGUACAUAGCUCAGCCAUCACAGCUAAUUUGACACCCGCCAAGUUCGGAGCAACCUAAACUCAGAAUUAUUAUUAGAAAAAUUGGAUUACCUUUGCUGUUCUUCAUCAGAAUGCACUCCCAGGACUGCUACUUCCACAACAAAUGUUGUUUUUGUUCCAAAUAAUCCAUAGUUAUGUGCAAAUAUCCCCAUUUUGUUCGUGCGUUCAGGUCACUAUCUAAAGGGUAAUGCGCGAGCGCAUUUCGUGACAAAAAAUGUCAAAAUGUUCCUUUACUGUACUUAGAAGCAUGUCAAAUGCUGUUUAAAAUCCAUUUUUAUUGUAUUUGUCUCGUAAAAUAGCGAUAAUAUUCCAACUGGACAAUGCUGCAUUCAUUCAAAAAGGAAGAGAAAAAAUGGCGAGGUCUCGUGAACUUGCAUGUCCAUUCCCUUUGUCCUCAGGCAGACCACUGACAAACUGAGUUACUAUACUUUGCCCAGAGACAGGAGACGCCCCAAUCCGCUUUCUGGCGGCUUUAGAGAGCAAAUGGAAGCCUUAGAAAGUGCAACAUAACCCCACGGAUACUGUAGUUUCGAUAGAGAAGCAAAAGGAGAACUACAAAAUCGCAGACAGGCCACUUCCUACUUGGAAUCUUCUCAGGUUUUUGCCUGCCAUAUGAGUUCUGUUAUACUCACAGACACCAUUCAAACAGUUUUAGAAACUUUAGAGUGUUUCCUAUCCAAAUAUACUAAUAAUAAGCAUAUUCUCGUUUCUGGGCAAGAGUAGUAACCAGUUUAAAUCGGGUACGUUUUUUAUCCGGCCGUGAAAAUACUGCCCCCUAUCCCAGACAGGUUAAAACACACAGUAAAGGGGGGCGGGAAAAGGGGCUGAGCCGGACCCAAGGAAAGAAACAAUAAUCCAAAACACCCCUAAGCUAGACUAGCCUACUUCAAGAACAGCUAGCUAACUAACCAAAAAUACAGUGGGUGGUCCGCCCAGUUCUAACUAGGGUAUUUAGACAAGGGUUACCUACGGGUAGUGUAUGCCCAUGGGCGACUUGUCUUGGUACCCCCUUUUCCCACCAUCAAACAAACAGUCAACACUUUAACAAAAACAAUACUCACAGGCUGACAGACAAAGUGACAUGUAGUUGCCAAAAACAAAAGAGAGAUCAAUCCAUAGAGAGAGAGAUGGGGGCACAGAGAGAGAGAGAGAGAUUCAGAGAGAGAUUCAGAGAGAGAGAGAGAGAAAGAGAUUCAGAGAGAGAGAGAGAUUGAGAGAGAGAGAGAUUCAGAGAGAGACAGAGAGAGAUUCAGAGAGAGAGAGAGAGAGAUUUAGAGAGAAUGAGUUAGAGAGAGAUUCAGAGAGAAUGAGUUAGAGAGAGAUUCAGAGAGAUUGAGCACAAAGAGAUUGAUCUGGGAAGAAAACAACUGACUGGGUUUUUAAACCAAGGGAAAGGGAUGUGAUUGGUUGAGGGAAAAGGAGCAGGUGUCUUGGUUGGUGACUGAUUGAUGACUGAUUGGGGAAUGAUGAUUGUCACCUGUGAGGGGAGAAGGAGAGAAAAGAAACACACACACACAGGAUACAUACACAGGAUACCUGUAUCCGUAACACUCCAUCCGGGAUCUGAACCCGGGACCUCUCGGACAAAGUCAUUUGGAAUUUGAUUGUUACUAUAUUUAUAAAGCCUUUCAGUCAUUUCAAGUCCUAUUCAUUUCAAGUCCUAUUCUCCCACUUUUGUUGAGUAGCUAAAAAAGCAUAAGAUUUUCUAUAUUUUCAUAAUAUUUGCACUGUGUACUUGAGCUUGUGUCCUCAAAAGUGAGUACACCUUGGUCUCCGGGUGGUGCAGUGGUCUAAGGCACUGCAUCACAGUGCUAGCUGUGCCACCAGAGACUCUGGGUUUGAGCCGGGAGGCCCAUGAAGCAGCGCACAAUUGUCCAGGUUAGGGAGG
rnacentral:lncRNA from 1 species